UCCGUGGCUUAGGACGAACGCUGGCGGCGUGCCUAAUACAUGCAAGUCGAACGGUCUUUCUAUGGAAGCUUGCUUCCACUGAGAAGAUAGUGGCGAACGGGUGAGUAACACGUGGGUAACCUGCCCAUAAGAGGGGGAUAACAUCCGGAAACGGGUGCUAAUACCGCAUAGUUUUCUUGAUUGCAUGAUUGAGAAAGGAAAGACGGCCUUUGUGCUGUCGCUUAUGGAUGGACCCGCGGCGUAUUAGUUAGUUGGUGAGGUAACGGCUCACCAAGACGAUGAUACGUAGCCGACCUGAGAGGGUGAUCGGCCACAUUGGGACUGAGACACGGCCCAAACUCCGUACGGGAGGCAGCAGUAGGGAAUCUUCCGCAAUGGACGAAAGUCUGACGGAGCAACGCCGCGUGAGUGAAGGUAAAGGGUUUUCGGAUACGUAAAACUCUGUUGUCAGAGAAGAACAAGUUGGAGAGUAACUGCUCCAGCCUUGACGGUAUCUGACCAGAAAGCCACGGCUAACUACGUGCCAGCAGCGGC
rnacentral:rRNA from 1 species